UGCCCAGCAACUCCUAUCCCUACCUCCGCUUGGCAUCGGCCGGACUGCGAGCAACCUUAGGGAAGAUCGGGUAACCAACCCCUGUAGCAACAGCGUCGUAGCCUGACAGGGAAGG
rfam:Aedes albopictus isolate Foshan contig110232, whole genome shotgun sequence.